AUUGAACGCUGGCGGCAGGCCUAACACAUGCAAGUCGAGCGGUAGAGAGAAUCUUGCUUCUCUUGAGAGCGGCGGACGGGUGAGUAAAGCCUAGGAAUCUGCCUGGUAGUGGGGGAUAACGUUCGGAAACGGACGCUAAUACCGCAUACGUCCUACGGGAGAAAGCAGGGGACCUUCGGGCCUUGCGCUAUCAGAUGAGCCUAGGUCGGAUUAGCUAGUUGGUGAGGUAAUGGCUCACCAAGGCGACGAUCCGUAACUGGUCUGAGUGGAUGAUCAGUCACACUGGAACGGAGACACGGUCCAGACUCCUACGGGAGGCAGCAGUGGGGAAUAUGGGACAUGGGGCGAAAGCCUGAGCCAGCCAUGCCGAGUGUGUGAAGAAGGUCUUCGGAUUGUAAAGCACUUUAAGUUGGGAGGAAGGGCAUUAACCUAAUACGUUAGUGUUUUGACGUUACCGACAGAAUAAGCACCGGCUAACUCUGUGCCAGCCGCCGCCGUAA
rnacentral:rRNA from 1 species